AUUAAUCUGUUGUAUGUAAGUGCAUAUCGAUUUUUCGUGUCGGGGGUGUUUCAUUAAUUGAAGCGGUUAAUA
rnacentral:tRNA from 1 species